UAAUACGGAGGGUGCGAGCGUUAUUCGGAAUUACUGGGCGUAAAGCGCGUGUAGGCGGGGAUGCAAGUCUGAUGUGAAAGCCCUGGGCUUAACCUGGGAAGUGCAUUGGAAACUGCAUUUCUUGAGUACUGGAGAGGAAGGGGGAAUUCCCGGUGUAGAGGUGAAAUUCGUAGAGAUCGGGAGGAAUACCAGUGGCGUAGGCGCCCUUCUGGACGGUAACUGACGCUGAGACGCGAAAGCGUGGGGAGCAAACAGG
rnacentral:rRNA from 1 species